UAAAAGGCUGAAAGAUGGCAAUGCCAUUGCUGGUGAGAUCCAAUUUCAAAGAGAAGUAGAGAUGAUCAGCCUAGCAGUUCAUCGCAAUCUCCUCCGUCUCUAUGGAUUUUGCAUGACAGCAAAUGAAAGGCUGUUGAUUUACCCUUACAUGUCCAACGGGAGUGUUGCUACUCGUCUCAAGGCCAAACCAGCCUUGGACUGGGGCACAAGGAAAAGAAUU
rnacentral:misc_RNA from 1 species